rnacentral:tRNA from 1 species
UCCCUGGUGGCUCAGAUGGCAAAGCAUCUGCUUACAAUGCAGGAGACCCAGGUUCGAUCCCUGGGUCGGGAA